rnacentral:rRNA from 1 species
GACGAACCGUCCAAACGUUAUUCGGAAUCACUGGGCUUACAGAGUUCGUAGGCGGUCUGGAAAGUUGGGUGUGAAAUCCCUCGGCUCAACCGAGGAACUGCGCUUGAAACUACCAGACUCGAGGGAGAUAGAGGAAAGCGGAACUGAUGGUGGAGCGGUGAAAUGCGUUGAUAUCAUCAGGAACACCGGUGGCGAAGGCGGCUUUCUGGGUCUUACCUGACGCUGAGGAACGAAAGCUAGGGGAGCGAACGGGA